rnacentral:misc_RNA from 1 species
CAAGGUUCCCGGUGACACCCCCUCGCGGGGUCCCUCCUGGGUAUCCCACCCGUGCCUAUUUACUCUUGUUGCUUUGGCGGGCCGUGGCCUCCACGGCGGGCUCUGCUCGCUCGUGCCCGCCAGAGAAUCAAACUCUGAAUAUUAGUGAUGUCUGAGUACUAUAUAAUAGUUA